rnacentral:misc_RNA from 1 species
UAACAAUGAUUUCGUAAUCGCGUUAUAGAAACAUGACAGCAGAUGUUAUAUAAAAAAACAACGAUAAACAAACUUGUUGUUCACGGUAGCGAAUAAAAUGACUUUGCUCUUAAGACGGUUUUUAACCAAAUCAUAUUAAAUUUUUAACAGCACUAUUCAAAAUAUUUUUCUUUUAAAACAAUUUGGUAAUUCGUUAAAACACUAUUUUAGUGCAGUAUGGUUAUUAGUAAAGAAGAAAAUUACGUUGAAAAUAAAAGCCACGUCAUAGAAGUAGGCACUGAGAAAUUAGGAAAUAUAUUUCAGGAGGUUUCUGUUGCUACUUCAAACAUUGUUACAAGUUCUGAUUGUCCGCCAUUAUGUUAUUUAAAAAGUAGUGAAAAUAAUUGCGUUCUAAACAGCAGUGGUAACGGAAUACUUUUAAAUGAGACUGCUAUUCACUUUGAAUGUAAUAAUUUGAAAGGACUUGGAUCCGUUGAAAUAGAAGCUGCUGAGUUAUUACCGCCUAUUGAGGGUCCAAUCUCAAAUAAACUUUUGUCAAAUUUCAAUGAACUUAAUAUUAGAGUUGAUUCGUUUGGUCCCACAGAUAGUUUACGUAGAAAACAGUUGCCGACAUAUUUAAGUUUAUCUAAAGAGUUUCUGAACGAUGAACCUCCCAAAUAUGAGUUAGUUACAGGGAAACAACUGAAAACUCAACUACAUGCAACCCCCAUAUUUUCAAAGAUUUAUAUCUGGUAUUGUUAAUACUAAAAAGAAAUUGCCAGUAUUGAAAAACAUCAUUACGCAGUACGCAGUUGCAAGUUAACGCGGAAUUAAAGAAGAAAUUCACACCAUCAACUUUGACAAACGACAUCGAACAUGUCGAAGGCUGGAAAAAAAAAAUGAUAGUUAUUGUAAUUUUGGUUGUUUUAACAGUAAUUAUAGUAA